rnacentral:rRNA from 1 species
AUUGAACGCUGGCGGCAGGCCUAACACAUGCAAGUCGAACGAGUGGCGGACGGGUGAGUAAUGUCUGGGAAACUGCCUGAUGGAGGGGGAUAACUACUGGAAACGGUAGCUAAUACCGCAUACCAUCGGAUGUGCCCAGAUGGGAUUAGCUAGUAGGUGGGGUAAAGGCUCACCUAGGCGACGAUCCCUAGCUGGUCCGAGUGGAUGACAAGCCACACUGGGACUGAGACACGGUCCAGACUCGUACGGGAGGCAGCGGUGGGGAGUAUUGCACAAUGGGCGCGAGCCUAAUGCAGCCAUGCCGCGUGUAUGAAGAAAGCCUUCGGAUUGUAAAGUACUUUCAGCGGGGAGGCGUUAACCGCAGAAGAAGCACCAGCUAACUCCGUGCCAGCCGCCGCGGUAAUUC